GGAACGUGGGGCUGCUUGGCGUGGCCGCAUCCCUGUCACGGAUGAUAUCAGGAGGGUUCGAUUCCCUUACGUUCCG
rnacentral:tRNA from 1 species